rnacentral:rRNA from 1 species
AUUGAACGCUAGCGGGAUGCUUUACACAUGCAAGUCGAACGAGUGGCGGACGGGUGAGUAAUAUAUCGGAACCUGCCCAGUAGCGGGGGAUAACUACUCGAAACAGUAGCUAAUACCGCAUACCAUCAGAUCUGCCGAGAUCGGAUUGGCUAGUUGGUGGGGUAAAGGCUCACCAAGGCAACGAUCCGUCGCUGGUUUGAGAGGACGACAAGCAAAACUGAGACUGAGACACGGCCAAGACUCCUCCGGGAGGGAGAGGUGGGGAAUUUUGGACAAGGGGGGAAGCCCUGAGCAAGCAAUCCCGCGUGAAUGAGAAGGCCUUCGGGUUGUAAAGAAUUUUUGGGAGAGAAGCUGUAUCUGAAGAAAAAGAACCGGCUAACUACGUGCCAGAAGCGGCGGUAAAC